rnacentral:rRNA from 1 species
UACAGAGGUCCCAAGCGUUGUUCGGAUUCAUUGGGCGUAAAGGGUGCGUAGGCGGCGCGGUAAGUCGGGUGUGAAAUCUCGGAGCUUAACUCCGAAACUGCAUUCGAUACUGCCGUGCUUGAGGACUGGAGAGGAGACUGGAAUUUACGGUGUAGCGGUGAAAUGCGAGAUAUCAGGAAGAACACCCGUGGCUAAGGCGGCUCUCUAGUACGGUACUGACGCUGAGACGCGAAAGCGUGGGGAGCGAACAGG